rnacentral:rRNA from 1 species
GUCCGAUUAGCUAGUUGGUAAGGUAAGGGCUUACCAAGGCAACGAUCGGUCGCUGGUCUGAGAGGAUGAUCAGCCACACGGGGACUGAGACACGGCCCCGACUCCUACGGGAGGCAGCAGCAGGGAAUUUUCCACAAUGGGCGCAAGCCUGAUGGAGCAACGCCGCGUGAGUGAGGAAGGUUUUCGGAUCGUAAAGCUCUGUUCACAGGAAAGAAAGCAGGCAAGGGUAACUCCUUGAUUGUUGACGGUACCUGUGAAGAAAGCCCCGGCUAACUACGUGCCAGCAGCCGCGGUAAUUC